AUAUUUACCCGGCAGGGGAGAUGCCAUGAUCACGAAGGUGGUUUGCCCAGGAAGGGGCUCAUCAUCACACUCCUAAUGUGCUGACCCCUGCCAUUUCCCCGAGUCUGGGAAACUUGACCACAUGUUUUGUGGUAGUGGAGCGACCGCAUAUGUGCGCUCUCUGC